rnacentral:rRNA from 1 species
GAUGAACGCUAGCUACAGGCUUAACACAUGCAAGUCGAGGGGAAACGAUAUUGGAAGCUUGCUUCCGAUAGGCGUCGACCGGCGCACGGGUGAGUAACGCGUAUCCAACCUGCCCACCACUUGGGGAUAACCUUGCGAAAGUAAGACUAAUACCCAAUGAUAUCCAUAGAAGACAUCUGAAAUGGAUUAAAGAUUUAUCGGUGAUGGAUGGGGAUGCGUCUGAUUAGCUUGUUGGCGGGGUAACGGCCCACCAAGGCGACGAUCAGUAGGGGUUCUGAGAGGAAGGUCCCCCACAUUGGAACUGAGACACGGUCCAAACUCCUACGGGAGGCAGCAGUGAGGAAUAUUGGUCAAUGGGCGAGAGCCUGAACCAGCCAAGUAGCGUGCAGGAUGACGGCCCUAUGGGUUGUAAACUGCUUUUAUAAGGGAAUAAAGUGGGAGUCGUGACUCCUUUUGCAUGUACUUUAUGAAUAAGGACCGGCUAAUUCCGUGCCAGCCGCCGCCGUAAUAC